rnacentral:rRNA from 1 species
UACGUAGGGGGCAAGCGUUGUCCGGAUUUAUUGGGCGUAAAGCGCUCGCAGGUGGUUCGUCGCGUCGUGCGUGAAAGACCCCGGCUCAACUGGGGGAGGUCUUGCGAUACGGGCGAACUGGAGGCCAGUAGGGGGAUGCGGAAUUCCGGGUGUAGUGGUGGAAUGCGUAGAGAUCCGGAGGAACACCAGCGGCGAAGGCGGCAUCCUGGACUGGUCCUGACACUCAUGAGCGAAAGCGUGGGGAGCGAUCCGG